UUUCUGGAUACAGUGUUCUGCCUACAUGUUUGCCUGUGAAAGACCCCCGAAGGGAGCCCCCCACUCAAGUCUCGGGAAAGACGCGCACCCAGUAGGACACAGACACCG
rnacentral:pre_miRNA from 14 species